CUCAAUCAUCAAUCUAACCAUUUUUCUUUUCUUGGUCAUUAGAACCACAAUAAAAUGUACGAGUAUUGACCAUGAAUUACAAAUACCUUCUCUGACUGCUCAUGGUAAUAAGGUUGAGGAGAGGUUGCUUUAGGUUUGAUUCUAUACUAGGAUAAUAAUCACGAUGCAUAUCAUUCAUUAUUCACAAACCAUCACAAAGACUUGAUCACUGGGUGGCUGCUUCAAUGGAAAUACCAUUUGUUACUAAGUCUUUGUUUUUGUUUCUUCCUUUUUCACUUUAUCCUAGCUGAAAGCAUUGAGCAACUCCUCACUUGAGAAAAACUUUGAACAGAACUCCUAAAUACCUCUGGUCUUGGGCUACACAGGAGAUACUAGAAGAG
rnacentral:misc_RNA from 1 species